rnacentral:lncRNA from 1 species
UUGGGAUUGCCCUAAGACCCAAGCUUUUCUUUUUUUCAUUUUAGUUCUGUUUGUUUAUAUGUGCCUCUGUCCUCCUGCUUUUCUGCACCCACUGCUUGUCAUGGCUCUGCUGGUCUCAGAGGAACUAAUUGGCCAUGGCAUUUCCUGCCUUAGUCAUCAGGCAUUUACUUCUUAGUUCUUCACAGCCUCCUGGCAGGAACUGGGAAGGUAAAUCUUCGAUUCUAAGCACCGCCCUGAGAACUCAUAGGUUAAAGUCUUGGAUACCAGCUGAUGAGACUCCCACUUCACCACUGGAUUCACCCAUUGGUGCUUUCAGAAUAUUUCCUUGAUCUAACUACAGUGUUGUAUUCUAAAUGUGAGAUCCACGCACGUUUGAGUAGUUGCUCCCCAGCUACUGGAACUCUUUGAGAAGGCCUCACCGGCAUUGGAAAGUAUUGCCUCUCUGGAAGAAGUGAGCCACUGGCGGUGACACCUGAGGCUUUGUAGCUGGGGCCCACUUCUUUUUCCCUGUCUGCUUUCUGAAUGUGAGAGCUACAUGACCCUCCAGUGUCUGCCUAUACC